UACGGAGGGGGCUAGCGUUGUCCGAAGUUACUGGGCGUAAAGCGCGCGUAGGCGGGUUGGUAAGUCCGCUGUGAAAGCCCGGAGCUCAACUCCGGAGGGUCGGUGGAUACUGCCAGUCUUGAAGGUGCUAGGGGGAGAUGGAAUUACCGGUGUAGCGGUGAAAUGCGUAGAUAUCGGUAGGAACACCGAUGGCGAAGGCAGGUCUCUGGGCCAUAACUGACGCUGAGAAGCGAAAGCAUGGGGAGCGAACAGG
rnacentral:rRNA from 1 species